UGCUAAUGCUGUUUUGUUGCAAGGGU
rnacentral:sRNA from 1 species